rfam:Triticum aestivum genome assembly, contig: Triticum_aestivum_CS42_TGACv1_scaffold_080167_1DS
CAUGUACUCCCUCCGUUCGGAAUUACUUGUCUCAGAAAUGGAUGUAUCUAGAACUAAAAUACGUAUAAAUACAUUCAUUUCUACGACAAGUAAUUUCGAACGGAGGGAGUAGUAG